rnacentral:rRNA from 1 species
CCCGGGUGGCUGCAGUGGGGAAUAUUGGACAAUGGGCGAAAGCCUGAUCCAGCCAUGCCGCGUGUGUGAAGAAGGCCUUCGGGUUGUAAAGCACUUUCAGUGGGGAAGAAAGCCUUGGGGCUAAUACCCUCGAGGAAGGACAUCACCCACAGAAGAAGCACCGGCUAACUCCGUGCCAGCAGCCGCGGUAAUACGGAGGGUGCGAGCGUUAAUCGGAAUUACUGGGCGUAAAGCGCGCGUAGGCGGUCUGAUAAGCCGGUUGUGAAAGCCCCGGGCUCAACCUGGGAACGGCAUCCGGAACUGUCAGGCUAGAGUGCAGGAGAGGAAGGUAGAAUUCCCGGUGUAGCGGUGAAAUGCGUAGAGAUCGGGAGGAAUACCAGUGGCGAAGGCGGCCUUCUGGACUGACACUGACGCUGAGGUGCGAAAGCGUGGGUAGCAAACAGGAUUAGAUACCCGAGUAGUC